CCUACGGGGGGCAGCAGUGGGGAAUAUUGGACAAUGGGGGGAACCCUGAUCCAGCCAUGCCGCGUGUGUGAAGAAGGCCCUCGGGUUGUAAAGCACUUUCAGUGAGGAAGAACGCCUGGUGGUUAAUACCCAUCAGGAAAGACAUCACUCACAGAAGAAGCACCAGCUAACUCCGUGCCAGCAGCCGCGGUAAUACGGAGGGUGCGAGCGUUAAUCGGAAUUACUGGGCGUAAAGCGCGCGUAGGUGGCUUGAUAAGCCGGUUGUGAAAGCCCCGGGCUCAACCUGGGAACGGCAUCCGGAACUGUCAAGCUAGAGUGCAGGAGAGGAAGGUGGAAUUCCCGGUGUAGCGGUGAAAUGCGUAGAGAGCGGGAGGAAUACCAGUUGCGAAGGCGGCCUUCUGGACUGACACUGACACUGAGGUGCGAAAGCGUGGGUAGCAAACAGGAUUAGAUACCCCUGUAGUC
rnacentral:rRNA from 1 species